UGCAUAUAUAUGAACAUUAAAUAGCACUUUAGCACUAUGCUUGGGGACCAUUUUAAACAGUAAAAUCAACAAAAAGCACAAAAUAUGCAAAAUGGCAUGGUA